GACGAACGCUGGCGGCGUGCCUAAUACAUGCAAGUCGAACGCAGUGGGGACGGGUGAUUAACACGUGGGUAACCUCCCAUCAGAGGGGAUAACACUUGGCAACAGGUGCUAAACCGAUACUGAUGGAUGGACCCGCGGUGCAUUAGCUAGUUGGAGAGGUAACGGCUCACCAAGGCGACGAUGCAUAGCGGACCGGAGAGGGUGAUCAGGCACACUGGGACGGAGACACGGCCCAGACUCCUACGGGAGGCAGCAGUAGGGCAUCUUCGGCAAUGGACGAAAGUGUGAGCGAGCAAAGCAGCGUGAGUGAAGAAGGUUUUCGGGGCGUAAGACUAUUUUGUUAGAGAAGCGGUAGCUAACCAGAAAGCCACGGCUAACUACGUGCCAGCAGCCGCGGUAAUAC
rnacentral:rRNA from 1 species